CAUUUUAUCGUCAACACAAAAGAAGAGUUUGCUGCGAUCGCUUUCGUUUUUAAAGAUUUCGACUGUUCGUCGUUUUGCGAAGGUAAGAUUUCUCGUUACUUCUUCUAUGAUAUUUUCAAUUUCAUAUUUCAUAGCAGAGAUUACAUUGAUACGAAUUGUCUCGCCUCGAUACUUUUUUAUCAUACAGCUGACUUGUAUAAUUUUUCAUACACGUAUAAUCGUAUAUUUGAUGCAAAAUAUAAAGAUUUUAGAUUUUGUAUGCAUAGCAAAUUAAUGGUCUGUGUAUUUGCAUCACAGAGUGUUUGCGUGGUGAAUAAUUGCCUAAAUAUGGAAAGUAAAAGCUUUAUUUCACAGAAUAUACGUAUAAAUCAUGCAUAUAUGGCCAUGACGCAGUUAAAAUAUUCUAGCCAAAACUAACUUUACAGUAAGCCGUUUUUGUCAGAGACGAAGUAAAAUACAUUACUAAAGUAAUAAUUUAACUAUUAUUGAGUAUUGGAGCAUUAUUUGCUUCUUUAUUUUCAAGAAUAUAUACUUCCUUGGUAUGGGGCUAUCCCCCUUCUUCGUCUUCUGCCCCCUAUUGAGAGGGACAAGGUAAUACUCUGUCUAAUGCGGUAAUGCCAGACUAUUUGACUCAUCAAGAUGAGAGUGCUGGCUCUCAAUGGUUAACAGAGUUUCUAUAAAAUUUAUAUUCAUGUUUUUUUUUGUUUUAAUUAACAAAAGUAUGAGAUGUACAGGUAUAAAUCUGUGGCUGCUUUAGUUGUAUUUACAUAUAUUUAAAUUGUCUUCAAUUUCCCCCUUGCCAUCUCCAAAUAAAAUAUGCAGCUUAAUUUUUCACAUGUUCAAACAGGGUCUUAGCCAGCCUACCGUCCAGCCGUCUUUUGGACGGCCAUUUUCAAAUUUGGACGGCCUUCUAAGAAAGACAGCUUUUGGACGGUUCGCUAUCAUGGUGACGCCUUUUGGACGGCUAGGUAAAAGCUGUAGAGUACCUUACAAUAAAAUAUAAUGUUAAAUUAUGUAUUUGCGUUUUGUUCGCUGAGUGAAACGGCUAGUAAUAUGUAAUUUUGUAAACAUGCGCCGCUAGUGACACCUACGCAAAUUUUAUUGACCAUCCAGAAAAUAGACUCGCCUAGUUUUCAACUAUGGCACCUUGCUUGUGUGUAAUGGUUGGAAAUGCAGAAGCAGAAAGGGUGUUUAGCAUGCAGAAUCGCAUAAAAACACAACUGCGAAACCAACUGACCAUAGAUCGGUUAGACAAGCUGCUGCGAAUAAAAUACCAUGUCCAUGGAAACAUAAACAUUGCUCACUUGCAAGCUGCAGCGGAAAGAUUCCUAGCUUCCAAAAUCCGCAGAAUAUAACUAUAUAAGAUAAUAAGUUGCUUUUUGUUGUUGUUUGGUUGUGUUCUUCGCUCACACUAGCUUAUCAAAGCUACAGGUACUGUAUUUAUAGCAUGAAAGUGACAACAUAAUAUCAAUCAUAAAAUUAAUAUAUUGGCAGAUUUACUUAAACUGUACUACUGUAGUCACUGUAGUGAGUAGUGACCUAGUCUGAAUUAAUUGAAUAUAUAUUAUUAGUUUUUUGGGCGAUUCUCAAGUGCGGUCACCUAUUACUCCGAGCAUUUGGGAAUAAUCACAUUGCUGAAUUACUGGUGCAUGAAGUGGGUGCCAUAUGGCAAAAAUUGGGUGUCAUAUGGCAAAAAUUGGGUGUCAUAAACGAAAUUUCAAAUUUGGACACCCAAGUUGCAAAUCCUGGCUAAGACCCUGUGUUCAAAAGACAAGCAUUUCUUGACUGACUGCUUAUAGUUAAUUUAAAAAUAUUGUAAAAUUUCUCUUAUUUUUUAGACUCAACCCAUUGAGCUGCAAUGCGCCCCAGUAUGCUCUACUUAUCUUUUUUUACUUGUCUAAUGCCAGACGAUUUUACUUGUUGUCAAUGGGGAAGCUCAGCAGCCUAAUGGGUUAAACCAACAAAACUUGAUUUGACAGCUAUUCUUUAACCAUUAUACCACUUACCCCUUUUUUCUAUUUUUGGUUUAUUUUUCUUAUUUUGAAAGUCUUUUGGAUAACCUUUUGUUUGAAACUCGGCUCAUGUUGCAGGUGCAACAAUACUUAAACAGUUACAAGAUCAACAAAACGACUAAGGAACAUUAACACAGCAUGAGAAAAUUAUGUUGAUAAUCUGGUUUAAACAUACCAACUACACAAUAUAAAACAUUCUUAUAUAUAUACAUGUACACACAAUACAUACACUCUUUCAAUAAUCACGUCACAACUGGCAUUAGAUAAAGAAAAAAAAAUAAGUAGCUAGCUAGGGCACUGGGGUGCAUUGCGGCUCAAUGGGUUACAAAAUAUCAAACAUAUUAAUACAACAGUUUUUGGAACUAAUGUACAUUGUUGCCCAAGGGCAAAUUUAUUAAAUUUUGGUAAUAAAUUUGGAUGGUAAUAAUGGCCAAUAAUUGGAAAAUUAGCAAAAGUGUCUGUUGUUAAUUCAUGCAUAAUUAGCCCAUUGUAUAAUUUAUGCAUGAUACACAACUUAAUUUGUUGUCGGAGGUAUGCUGUCUUUAAUUUAAGUGCCCUUCAGUUAGUAUGGUAUUAUACUAAAUAUAAAUGUAUUAAUUGAUCAUGCUAUAAACAGCAAAUUGGCCUCUAAGGCUUUAACCCCUCUUGGAAUCUUAUAAGGUCUUGAUAAUUACUUUGAAAGGUCUAUAAAUAAUUCAAUAAGGAAUAAUACAAAAUAAACAUUUUGAGUGAGGGCUAUCCACAGAUUUGAGAUCAAACCUUUAUAAAAUGUGGGUUUAAACCCUGCUGGAGGGCCUACAAUUGCAUAUUAUGCAAGUGCUCCCAGUUAUAAAAUAAAAUAUAUACAGUACCGCUAUACUAACUGUACUUUCAUCUGGCAACCAGAGUUUUGCCAAAGGUAACUGAACCUUGUGGCAACUGAAAAAAAUAUUUGGAAUGGUAAAGUAUUGAAGAAUCGCAAUAUAAAUUUUACUUUUACAAAGAGUUUCCUUACUUCCUGUUUGAAAGAGUCAAUUAGGAUCCAUUAGGAUUACAGGCCUGCAAAUAAUUAUUUUACUUGGAAGAACAAAUGUCUGGCCAAGCCAAAAAUUGGUCAUAUAUAUUUAUCAAUUUUUUUACAAAGUAAAAUUUUUCAUAUAUUUUUUUUUAAAUUAGCACGAUUUUUUUUGCCUGCAUGGUCAUGUUAGUCCGCAGUGCAAUGUACGGUAAAUAUCUACCACUCCAGUCCUACUCCUAAUGCAUCAGUAAGUUAUAUUUCAGGAUAUAACUUUAAUUUCUACCAUGAUGCAGCAAGAAAUAGUGGAGAAGUGCUGUCUAUAUAGCUUUUCUUGUUGGUUUCAUUAAAUAAAUAAAAAAUGUGUUAAAUAAACAAUGGACGACUUGCGCUUUAGCCUAAAUUUUAAUCCAAGUAAGAACAACGAAAUCUAUCACCACAGCUGGAAAGAGCGUCUUGGAAUUAGUAAUAUUACAAAGUUUGGUUGCGAAAUGUUGUAAAAUACGGAAAAUAUAGCCCUUCAAAAUUGGCAAAUUUGUAUACUUUUGUAUUACGUGCGUGAAUUGGUAACUAAAUUAGUUACCAAUUUCCGCACGUAAUAGAAAUGUAUACAAGUUUGCCAACUUUGCAGGGCUAUAUUUUCUGUAUUUUACAACAUUUCGCAACCAAACUUUGCAGUUUUUUUAAUUUUGAUAACUUCUUUCAGAAAAGAUCCUUUGUUAUUCCCAGAUUAAAAUUUUUCUAAAGCAUAAGUCGUCCAUUGAGAUUGGAGAUUUGACCAGCCUAAAUUGGUCGGUCACAUGUCCGGUUAUAAAAAGCUUUUAUAAUAUAGCAUUUGUAAAUUCUGAACGCUGAUUGGCUAAGAGCCGUGUUGAUAUAACUCCAUGUCAACACGGGAAAUUUUCCGCCGCUUGUAACUGUACGGAAAUUUUCCUUAUCCUUCGGGCUUUUGACAUUGCUAUAUUAUAAAACAGAUAUAAAACAUUUUUUCCGUGUUGAUAUAUAGUUAUAUCAACACUCGUGGAAGUUGGGAAAACUCGAAAUUGUAUGAAAACACUCCGCCCUUCGGGCGUCGUGUUUCCAUACAAUUUCUCGUUUUCCCAAUUCCACUCGUGUUGAUAUAACUGUAUAUCAACACGGAAAAUGUUUUAUAUUUGUUAAUUAUCAGACAUAAGGUAAAAUUUGGCCGGACAAUGUCCAAUGACAGGCACUAUUAAAAAUUUGCAGGCCUGGGAUUAAAAUGAGAAUUACAAAUGUUCAAUAAUGAUUCAACAGCAUUGUUCAGAUUAUGCCAUGAUUUUUUAAAGUGAAAGAAAAUACUUCAGAAGACAAAAUCCAACUACCUACUGAAAUUCAGAAAGGGCAACUGAAAAAUGGCCCAAUAUCAUUUAUCAGUUGUUGCGGCCAUAUUUUUAUUCACUCUCUUGUGCAAGACAAUUGCUAAGGGGGGUGUUGGGGUGUGAUACCCCCAGGAAACAAGUUGUUGGAAUAUGAAGAAUUUGUCAGCAAUUUCUAAGGAAAUACAUUCCCCUCCCGCCCCCCAAACUAAACUGAGCAAACAGAGACCAUGCCCUUUUGUCUUCAAAUACAAUACACACCCCCCCUGCUUAAACCUCUUUGCAACAGCCCUGCUCUUUGCAACAGCCCUGCUGCUGCGUCAGGGGGGGGGGAGGGGUUAAAAAGAGUACUCUCUGUACGCUUGUGAAAAUGUUGAUAAUUAUGGAUGAGCCCCUAAUAAAAUUCUAUGGUGUAUAUUUAUUAGGUCUUUUUAUACUAGAUAUGAAUUAGUACUUGGAUUGCAAAUUUGCGAUGGAGAACGAGGAUGAAAGGCAAAGCCAUCCAAAAUCAAUUGUUAAUAACAAUUGUCGGAAUGUUAUCAUUGGUGAUAACAAUGUUAUUAACUUGCAAGUUCGAGGUAGGUAGUAAGUAUAGUAAAAUUAAGAUUAUCACAGACAUAAAAAUUAAAUUAGUUUAUACAUUGUGUUUGUUGGAUGAAUAGACAAUCACUAGACUAAAUAUAUUCAUACUGCACACUUUUAAAAAGUGCGCCUUUAUAAUAUUGAUAAUAAAUUAUGUGAUCUGAGUGAAAUCUAUACAGUUAUGUGGUUCUCCCACUCCGCUGUUGUGGCACAUCGCAUAUCGCCCCCCGAAUUCGUCUAGCUUAGUCAGCUGACAAGCCUAUCCUGCAGCAUUGUGGUGUCUGUCUGUCAAGGUUGUUUGGGUAGCCCAUUUUGUUGACUAUUUAGCCAAGGGAGAGGACAUAAUUUAUUAAGAUUCUACUGUAUUAUGAAUAUCGGGGAGGGGGCGUAAUGUGUGUGGGUGCGUGAUGUGUGUGGGGUGUGCAUAAUGUGUGUGGGGUGCGUGAUGUGCGGGGGAUGCGUCAAAUAUUGUCUUCCUAUGAAACCAAUUUGUAAGUUUUCUUAAUUUAACAUAAAUAACACAUUAUUUUACUUUCUCAACAUUAACAUCAUUCCUGAGAUUUAACAUUACGAGAGUACGCUCUCAGAAGAGGGAGAGGUUGAUAGAAUGAGUACGCUCUGUACUCUUGUGAAAAUGUUGAUAAUUAUGGACGACCCCUAAAUCAAUACAAGUUAGAUCUUUUCAAUGAGAAAUCUUGGAUGUUAUAUUAAAAUAUCACAAUUUAUUUCCUUUCAGGAAAUGUUUCAGGAAAAGUUGAUCAGGAGCGUAAGAAGGUA